CUGCUUUAAAACCCAAUCAGCUGUUUACAAUGAGCUCUUUUUGGUCACGAACUUGAAUGCUAGAAGGUUUUUCCUCCUAAAUUUUUAUUCAGUUUACACAGUGUGACUUAUAUUACUGCUGGUCAUUUCCAGCUAUGUUCUUUGUACGGCUGGUAGUUCUGAGUUAGGUCCUUCCCUGAAACCUGUUCACAGGAUUUUCACUUCAAGUAACUUGGAAAGGAAGCAUUUUUAUGGAAAAGGAAAUGGAUUUCAUCAAGGUUUACAUGUUUUUUACCCCUCCAGAGGAACUUCUUAAGACACUAGAGGAAAGUGAUAAGUAAGAAUAAAUAGGAAAAAGUGUUUCAGAGCUAACAAACAGAAGACUGUUAGGGCACAGCAGAACAAUUAAUUUAACAAACAGAAGACUGUUAGGGCACAGCAGAACAAUUAAUUCACUCUGUAGGCAGCUUUAAUUAGGAAUCAUUGUUAGGGAUUUUCUGAGUCCUUGAAAUAUGUAGUUAAUGGGCUACUGGCUAAAAUUAGUUUUCUUUUUGGCUGUAGAAAACCCUUGCCUCUCAGAAAACUGUCUCACCUUGAUGAGUUUGAUAGGACUGCUGAUAAAAACCAUCAGUUGGCUUUCAGAUGCACCAACAUAGACUUGCUCAUCAUUCAGAGAUACAGUGCAGCUGCUUCCCAGGGACUACAGCCAAGAGACCUGUGUCUGCUGACUUCUCCUUGCAGAGGUUAAGCCUGCACACCUACAUCCCGAUCCAAGAGGGAAGCUGGUUGUGAUUCAGUAAUUGUCUGGUAAGAAUAAUUAGGUCAUUACCCAUGACUGGCAGUGCUAAAAAACCCAGCUGGAAUUUGUGAAUUUUGUUGAUUGUUGAAUGGCUGUUGGUGAGAUAUUUCAUCCCAAGUGUUUGACUUGGAGCUGUGGUAGUGGGCUUAUGAGCCAGAUAAUGUUCUUCUGUAAUGUGUAUGAAUUUUAGGACUUUUGAUUAUUUUCCCAGUGUCAACCAAUAAUUUUUGUGAUAUAGACUGCUGUUUUCAGUAAAGGGUUGAAAGAAUUGGUGUUCUGUACAAAUUGAUGCCUACUAACAGCAAUAAUCUGAACAGAGGGACUUGCACGGUUUUGAGACAUUUCUUGAACAUGCUUUGUUGGGCAUUUUAUUAAAUACAAAUAUCCUGGAGAAGACUACAUAGUCUUGAAUUUUGGUUUUACCUGGUUGCAAAGGAGGUCAUUACAGAAUAAUUAAUGCAGAAAGGUUUCUGCAGCAUUAACUCAAAUUGCUGAGGCAGUUUCUGCAAAAGUAACACCUGGUCAGUUAUGUAAACAUCCUUUACCGACAACUCCUAGUCCUUUUCAUGGUUAAAAAUGUGAGUGUUUAAGAUGUCUUAAUAUGAGAGUGUAAGAAAUAGACAUGUAAUGGAACUGAGUAUUCUUCUAGAUACACUUUAUUUAGAAGUCUGGUUAAAAGGCAGUAUAAUUUCUGAUUUAAAAAAAAAGUGGUUACAGUUCAGCUUAGUACAAAGAAUCAUGAUAUAAGGGGGAGAAGAUAAGAUGGACAUGGAUGAACAAAGUGGAAGUCUACUAAGUAAAGAGUGUUAUGCAUAACAUUUUCUUUUCCAAAAAAAUAGUGGAAUUUUCCUGUUUAAUGGUGGUCAAAAUAGAUUGGACUGAUAAAACUCCUUAGUCACUAAUUACAACUAAAGGUAAAAGGAUACCAGUUUUUUAAAUGUUCAAAUUUUGCUUCAUUAGUAAGAGCAUGCCUAUAUUUGGUUUCUAAUUUAU
ensembl:lncRNA